GUGAAAUGCUUAGAUAUUACUCAGAACACCGAUUGCGUAGGCAGCUUACCAAGCCAUCACUGACGCUGAGGCACGAAAGCGUGGGUAGCAAACAGGAUUAGAUACCCUGGUAGUCCACGCCGUAAACGUUGAUUACUCGUUGUUGGCAAUACACCGUCAGCGACUGAGCAAAAGCAUUAAGUAAUCCACCUGGGGAGUACGUCAGCAAUGAUGAAACUCAAAGGAAUUGACGGGGGCCCGCACAAGCGGAGGAACAUGUGGUUUAAUUCGAUGAUACGCGAGGAACCUUACCUGGGCUUAAAUGUUUAGUGAUCGACCGGGAGACCGGUUUUUCCUUCGGGACACUUCACAAGGUGCUGCAUGGUUGUCGUCAGCUCGUGCCGUGAGGUGUCGGGUUAAGUCCCAUAACGAGCGCAACCCCUAUCGCCAGUUGCCAGCACAUAAUGGUGGGAACUCUGGUGAAACUGCCGGUGCAAACCGUGAGGAAGGUGGGGAUGACGUCAAAUCAGCACGGCCCUUAUGUCCAGGGCUACACACGUGUUACAAUGGUCGGUACAACAGGAUGCCAAUCCGCAAGGAUGAGCUAAUCCCAAAAGCCGAUCUUAGUUCGGACCGGAGUCUGCAAUUCGACUCCGUGAAGUUGGAUUCGCUAGUAAUCGCAGAUCAGCCAUGCUGCGGUGAAUACGUUCCCGGGCAUUGUACACACCGCCC
rnacentral:rRNA from 1 species